AGGACGAACGCUGGCGGCGUGCUUAACACAUGCAAGUCACGGGGGCCCGCAAGGGCAACCGGCGAACGGGUGCGUAACACGUGAGCAACCUGCCGAUCUGUGGGGGAUAGCCGGGCUAACGCCCGGGUAAUACCGCAUACGGUUGCCGAGGGAGUCCCUUGGCAAAGAAACCUCGGGGCAGAUCGAGGGGCUCGCGGCCUAUCAGCUAGUUGGGGGGUAAUGGCCCACCAAGGCGACGACGGGUAGCU
rnacentral:rRNA from 1 species